GGCGCCGUAGCCAAGUGGCUAAGGCAGCGGAUUGCAAAUCCGCCAUCAUGAGUUCGAAUCUCAUCGGCGCCU
rnacentral:tRNA from 2 species